AUUGAACGCUGGCGGCAGGCCUAACACAUGCAAGUCGAACGAGUGGCGGACGGGUGAGUAAUGUCUGGGAAACUGCCUGAUGGAGGGGGAUAACUACUGGAAACGGUAGCUAAUACCGCAUACCAUCGGAUGUGCCCAGAUGGGAUUAGCUAGUAGGUGGGGUAACGGCUCACCUAGGCGACGAUCCCUCGCUGGUCUGAGAGGAUGACACUCCACACUGGAACGUAGAACCGGUCCAGCCUCCUACGGGAGGCACCAGGGGGGAAUAUUUCACAAUUGGCGCAAGCCUGAUGCAGCCAUGCCGCGUGGAUGAAGAAGGCCUUCGGGUUGGAAAGUACUUUCAGCGGGGAGGCGUUACCCGCAGAAGAAGCACCGGCUAACUCCGUGCCAGCAGCCGCGGUAAUAC
rnacentral:rRNA from 1 species